ensembl:lincRNA
GGGGUGACAGUGGGAAUAGCAUCUUCUGACACCACCACGGUGAAGACCAGAAGGGGCGAUGCAUGUGACAGGUCACAGCCUGGACCAGCAGGUGCACGGGGAUUUGAUGACCGCACAGUGGGGACAGACCUGCUGCUGGUAGGGCUCACAAUUGAGAAGGUAGGAGCCCCUUUAUUCCCCUAGAACCAUAUGCGGCUGCGGAGGGAGCUCUGAGCUGAUGCUGAGGUUGAGGUGGCUCCUAACCCCACAGGAUUCUGGGCCCAAGUGAGGUGAUGUCUCCAGCUGUUGCCACCCGGCCUUUUGGAAACCUCAUCAAAAUGAAGAGCAACCUCGGGUGCCCUGGCAGGACGGCUGGUGGCCUCAGCACGGCGUUCCCAGAGACAACAAGGAGCCGGUGGCCCUUUCUUCAACCGCCAGAUAAAGGCGGUCUCAAGCACCACAAAAAGCAGAGGCUGCUCCAAGUCCCCCACUGGCCCAUGACCUGGAGCGAGUCCCAAGCCCGGGCUGAGAAGGGCUUCAAGCUGGCGCAGGCUUCUGCACAGAGGCUACGUGACGUCUUGGGCAGCUCAGCUGAGCUCGCCACAUCGAGUCCUGGGCAUCUUCAACAAGGUGGAACUUGUCCUGGGGAAGGGUGGGGGGACAGGGCGGGACAGCAGGACCAGGUCUGCGGCUGCCACCUUCCUGAGGACAGGGACCAGACCCUGUCCAGGGGUCCUGCUCCUGUCUCGCUCCUCCCGCACCCAUCUUUCGAUCCAGGUACACACAUAGAAAAGUCGCCUCGACACCAGUGCAUCUGGGCUGGAGUUUCUCUCAGGAAAAGUAAAGUUUUGGCUGUGUGAAAGAUGGGGGUGGGGGACAGCGUGGCCUGGCAGCUCCAGGGGUGACCGACCUGCAGCCGUUUGAAGUCCACCGUUAUCUGCCGCUGGGCUGUCUGGCUUCUGCCGGGGCAUAAACAGGGUGAUUGAAGUGGGCGUUGUGCCUUUCCGGACCACAAAAGCCCCCUCACUAAUUGCCACAUCAAAUGAUCGGGAAGCCCCCAGUGGAGGCCUGCAAAUUACCGUGAACACACAGCGCGGCCCGAGGCUGCAGCGCCCCCUCCCCAGCUGCCUGCCCUGGUCCCGUUACAGCGGAGGUGUGUGGAGGUGGGGACGGCUCUGCCUCACUGCCAGCGGGCUCUGCCAGCCUUACCCUUUGUCUCUCACUGCAGAGGGCACGUCCUUUCCCUCUGGCCCUGCCUGGGACACAAGGGACUGCCAGCCUCAGAACUUUCAAAGAGGCCACUGGAGACAUAAAGCGACACAGUGCUGUGUACACAGAGCCAUAGCAUCGAAGCCUGGCUCUUUGGGGCUCUUUGCUGUACCUGAAUCCGGAUGGGGGUGGCCGG